rnacentral:lncRNA from 1 species
CACAGCUUCUCUACAGACUCCAAAAGGCCCUUUUCAGGGCCCCCAAACUGUUACAGAAAGAGCUGUUAACACUUCCUACAUAACGGGUAAAUAUCAGCCCUUUGAUGCCGCCUUCCGGAUACCGGAAAUGGGACAUUCGCGGCCCGAGCAUCUGCUCGGGAUUAGAGUUGGCGGGCGCGGGGAGAACUAGACCUCAAGGAGGGGAUUCCGCCUGUGCUUAGGUACGACCCUGGAGGUGCCGCGCAACGCAGUAGUGACCUCCCAAAAUCCAGACUGCCGAUUUUGUUUAGAAGAGUGCUUCUACAAAGCCCUAAUGUUAGAACUGGUCAUGGUGUUCUAAGCGGCGAGUCGUUGGCCCAUAAGCACGUAUCGGAUGGCUUCCAUGUAAAUCAGGGCUUAGGUGACUUCCUGCUGGCCUUCAGGGGUGAGCGUCACGCGUCAGAGGGCGGUUCGUGCGUGUGCAGGGCCUGCUAGGUCGCAGGAAAUGGGAGGUCGCAGCACGCCGCUACCUGCAAGCCCGAAAGCUGAAAGCAGCUCUAGUGUGGCGCGUAGUCUUACUGAAUGCAGCUCUAGUGUGGCGCGUACUAUUUUACUUCAUCGCUGACGUUGAGUGAGAGGUGACCAAGCUCAGAUGCUGAGAUUAAGGCGGCCGGGCGAAACUCGCGACACCCUGCGAUUCCCGCUUAGCCAGCUGCGUAAAGUUGCCUACGCCAAGCGGGUGGCGUCCUGCUCGGCCACCUGGCGGUGGGCGUGGAGUUGACAGGCAGGCAGUGGGGGUCACGCCCGCAUGAAAGGCCAGAUCACCUGCAGGUCGCCAAGUUGCCGGGAAUCCCCCGCUCCGAGCAGUGUCAUGCCCAUCACAAAUAACCCUAUCGCAGCCGGGAGGAAGGCUCCCCUGUUCCUUUUUGCUGACGUGUCAUUUCUAAGUACUUUCUCCUACUCCAUAAAGACUUCAAGAAAACAUCCACCCAGUCCAGUCUCCGUGAUCCUUUGAUGUCUUCUGACAGAGCAAGUGAUGGCUCUCUAGUGAGUGACUUUGAUAAAAGCCUGUCUAUUCAAACCCCAGAAGAAACUGAACAUUG